AGGUUUUGUUCCUGAACAAACAAUAGUUUAUGUACUUGAACAAGCUUCCUAUCAUGCAUCUAAAAAAACUCCCAUAUACAUACCCGAACCAAAUGUUUUCUAACACAUUUCUUAUGCAUUAAUUGAACAAAACUAUACUAUCAAAGCUUCAAAGGUGCGCCAAAAUAGUAUUUCUGAAUAAGUAAUCUUGCCAUUUGAGCAUGUUUACUCUGGUUGUUGAGAUCUAUAUCAAUUACAUGCACGAGUGAACUGGAAGUCAGCGUAUCGAGUGAGGUGAUGAUUCCACGAGUUGGGCCGUAGAUAACAAGCCCACGAAAGAUUUAAGAUUA